rnacentral:rRNA from 1 species
AGUGAACGCUGGCGGUAGGCCUAACACAUGCAAGUCGAACGGCAGCACAGUAAGAGCUUGCUCUUACGGGUGGCGAGUGGCGGACGGGUGAGGAAUACAUCGGAAUCUACUUUUUCGUGGGGGAUAACGUAGGGAAACUUACGCUAAUACCGCAUAAGACCUACGGGUGAAAGCAGGGGAUCUUCGGACCUUGCGCGAUUGAAUGAGCCGAUGUCGGAUUAGCUAGUUGGCGGGGUAAAGGCCCACCAAGGCGACGAUCCGUAGCUGGUCUGAGAGGAUGAUCAGCAACACUGGAACUGAGACACGGUCCAGACUCCUACGGGAGGCAGCAGUGGGGAAUAUUGGACAAUGGGGGCAAGCCUGAUCCAGCCAUGCCGCGUGGGUGAAGAAGGCCUUCGGGUUGUAAAGCCCUUUUGUUGGGAAAGAAAAGCAGCAGGUUAAUACCCCGCUGUUCUGACGGUACCCAAAGAAUAAGCACCGGCUAACUUCGUG